UAGGGAAUCUUCCACAAUGGACGCAAGUCUGAUGGAGCAACGCCGCGUGAGUGAAGAAGGUUUUCGGACCGUAAAGCUCUGUUGUUGGUGAAGAAGGAUAGAGGUAGUAACUGGCCUUUAUUUGACGGUAAUCAACCAGAAAGUCACGGCUAACUACGUGCCAGCAGCCGCGGUAAUACGUAGGUGGCAAGCGUUGUCCGGAUUUAUUGGGCGUAAAGCGAGCGCAGGCGGAAGAAUAAGUCUGAUGUGAAAGCCCUCGGCUUAACCGAGGAAUUGCAUCGGAAACUGUUUUUCUUGAGUGCAGAAGAGGAGAGUAGAACUCCAUGUGUAGCGGUGGAAUGCGUAGAUAUAUGGAAGAAUACCAGUGGCGAAGGCGGCUCUCUGGUCUGCAACUGACGCUGAGGCUCGAAAGCAUGGGUAGCGAACAGGAUUAGAUACCCUGGUAGUCCAUGCCGUAAACGAUGAGUGCUAAGUGUUGGGAGGCUUCCGCCUCUCAGUGCUGCAGCUAACGCAU
rnacentral:rRNA from 1 species